AUUGAACGCUGGCGGCAGGCCUAACACAUGCAAGUCGAGCGGAGCGGCGGACGGGUGAGUAAUGCCUAGGAAUCUGCAUGUUAGUGGGGGAUAACUUCCGGAAAGGGGAGCUAUUACCGCAUGAUAUAAGAUGAGCCUCGGUCGGAUUAGCUAGUUGGUGGGGUAAAGGCCUACCAAGGUGACGAUCCGUAACGGGUCUGAGAGGAUGAUCAGUCACACUGGAACUGAGACACGGUCCAGACUCCUAAGGGAGGCAGCAGUGGGGAAUAUUUGGCAAUGGGCGAAAGCCUGAUCCAGCCAUGCCGCGUGUGUGAAGAAGGUCUUCGGAUUGUAAAGCACUUUAAGUUGGGAGGCGUUACCAACAGAAUAAGCACCGGCUAACUUCGUGCCAGCAGCCGCGGUAAUAC
rnacentral:rRNA from 1 species